rnacentral:rRNA from 1 species
AACGAACGCUGGUGGCAUGCCUAACACAUGCAAGUCGAACGAGACCUUCGGGUCUAGUGGCGCACGGGUGCGUAACGCGUGGGAACCUGCCCUUAGGUUCGGAAUACCUCCCCGAAGGGGGUGCUAAUACCGGAUAAUGUCUUCGGACCAAAGAUCUAUCGCCAUUGGCUGGGCCCGCGUUGGAUUAGCCAGUUGGUAGGGUAAAAGCAUACCAAGGCGACGAUCCAUAGCUGGUCUGAGAGGAUGAUCAGCCACACUGGGACUGCGACACGGCCCAGACUCCUACGGAAGGCAGCAGUGUGGAAUAUUGGACGAUGGGCGAAAGCCUGAUCCAGCAAUGCCGCGUAAGUGAUGAAGGCCUUAGGGUUGUAAAGCUCUUUUACCCGGGAUGAUAAUGACAGUACCGGGAGAAUAAGCACCGGCUAACUCCGUG